GUCGUCUGUUGAAAAGAUGAUUUGCAAUUUUUCAUAGAAGCCAGAAGAUUGAAAAUUAUUCACAGGAAAAACAUUUUAAAUUGUUUUGAGACAAACAAAAUCAACAUUCAAUUAAACAAAAGACAGAGUAAACGAAUUUACGUGCUUUUCCAUGCAUUGUAAGAAUCCAAGAACAUAGAACAUGUAAUCUCUGAUAAAAAAAAAAAAAACACCAAAAGAUUGCUACGAUAAAACUGUUGAGUAACUAUUUGUAAUACAGAAUGCAUCAAUAAUCAAGAUGGUGGUAUGCUACAUAUAAUAUUGAUACUUAUGAGAAAAGAAACUGAAGACAUAACCAAGUGCUGAACAGCAAAGAUUAAGAUAUAAGGAGCAGAUAUUUUCCUGAAGAUGUAAUUAAUAUCUGCAAAGAUAAUGUGAAGGGAACAGAAGCUAUCAUGAUGAUUCUUUAAAAGAAAAGAUACAGAAACACAAGCUCCUGUAGACACUUAUGAAAAAGAAGAUGCUUUUGCAAUGCAUCUGUGUGAAUCUGAUAAAUUAUGGCCAAUCAAUUAUUUAAACAACAAUAUAUUCUACAAAUUUCCUAGUUUUAUAAGUUUCAUUACAUUUGGUUGAGGCAAACUAAAGUUAGAUAAUGGAAAUCGCCAAUUUUUCUAUUUGGAAAGGGGCAUAACUCUAGAAAGGUAAAAGUGAUGCCACCAAAAUUUGAUCUUGAAUGGUGUUUUGUGGUAAUUAGAAUGUGAGCGUCGAAUUCAUUACAUUUGGUCGAGGCAAAUUUAAGUUAGAGAACAGAAACCAUUCUAGAAUGUUCAGAUGUAUGUAUCAUACAGAUGGACAAAGGUAAAACUUGAUGCCCACUCUGCUAGGGCAGGGGCAUAAAAACUAUAAUAAGAGGAAUUGACAUAAUAAAAUGUAACUACCAAGUAUUGAGAUACCAAUUGUUUUGCCGUCUUGAUCAUAUCUAACAACAUGCUUGCCUUUAUAGAUAAUUAAAAAA